AUACAGUAAGAUUUUGCUAUAUUUAUCGAGGCAUGAGAGGCGCGGGGGAGGGGGCAAGAUGGUGGCUUUGGCACUAUAGGGUCAGGAAUACAUUUUUCUGUUCCUGACCCUAUAUUGAUCCUUUAAGCAAUUUUUUUAAAGAGCUUUAAAUUCUAGCUAUGCAUUGUGGAUUCAUAUUUUCCAGCAAAUGUUUAGACUGCGAGAAACACCUAUUUAAAAA